GGAGGGGACGCGCUGCAGGCUCUGGAAGGAGGACUGGCUGCUCCAGGACUGUGUCAGGCGGUCACAGCUGUCGUAGCUCUCUAUGCUCUCAAAGGAGUCCUGGCCACCCAGUUUACCUCGACUGGCACGUCCCAUGCACAUGUUGUCUGGCGUUACCACUUCUUGCUUGAUUGUGAAGUAGUCUGUCUGCAGGGAGUCCGUCUGGAC
rnacentral:lncRNA from 1 species